rnacentral:rRNA from 1 species
AUUGAACGCUGGCGGCAUGCUUUACACAUGCAAGUCGAACGGUAACAGGCCUUCGGGUGCUGACGAGUGGCGAACGGGUGAGUAAUGCAUCGGAACGUGCCCAAUCGUGGGGGAUAACGUAGCGAAAGUUACGCUAAUACCGCAUAAGCCCUGAGGGGGAAAGCAGGGGAUCGCAAGACCUUGCGCGAAUGGAGCGGCCGAUGUCAGAUUAGCUAGUUGGUGGGGUAAAGGCCUACCAAGGCGACGAUCUGUAGCGGGUCUGAGAGGAUGAUCCGCCACACUGGGACUGAGACACGGCCCAGACUCCUACGGGAGGCAGCAGUGGGGAAUUUUGGACAAUGGGGGCAACCCUGAUCCAGCCAUGCCGCGUGAGUGAAGAAGGCCU